UACGUAGGGUGCAAGCGUUGUCCGGAAUUAUUGGGCGUAAAGAGCGCGUAGGCGGCCCUGCAAGUCCGUUCUGAAAGUCAAAGGCUCAACCUUUGAAAGCGGAUGGAUACUGCAGGGCUAGAGUCCGGAAGAGGCGAGUGGAAUUCCUGGUGUAGCGGUGGAAUGCGCAGAUAUCAGGAGGAACACCUGUGGCGAAGGCGGCCCCCUGGUUGGAUACUGACGCUGAUACGCGAAAGCGUGGGGAGCAAACAGG
rnacentral:rRNA from 1 species